GAUGAAGAACGCAGCGAAAUGCGAUAAGUAAUGUGAAUUGCAGAAUUCAGUGAAUCAUCGAAUCUUUGAACGCAUCUUGCGCUCCUUGGUAUUCCUUGGAGCAUGCCUGUUUGAGUAUCAUGAGCAAAUCUCAAAGUCAAUUCCUUUUGUUGAUUCAAUUGGUUUUGCUUUGGACUUGGAGGCCUUGCAGAUUUCACAGUCUGCUCCUCUUAAAUGCAUUAGCUGGAUCUCAGUAAUUAUGCUUGGUUCCACUCGGCGUGAUAAGUAUCACUCGCUGAGGACACUGUUAAAAAGGUGGCCAGGAAAAUACUGAUUGAACCGCUUCUAACGGUCUAUUAAGUUAGACAAUUACCCUUAAGUUUGAUCUCAAAUCAGGUAGGACUACCCGCUGAACUUAAGCAUAUCAAUAAGCGGAGG
rnacentral:misc_RNA from 1 species